UGUGCUUUACAGGAGGAUCAGAUGUUGCUGGACAAAGAUAACACAAGAAGAUUUUGAUGACAGAAAGACAGAAGAACCUUUUUUCCUCCUUCUAAAGAGACUGUGGAUCUGAAACAAUUAGCAGCAACUGCCACCAGGUGUGUGAUAACAGACAAGAAAAAGAACCUCAUCAGACUCCUGGUAGGAAGGAUAAUAUGUUCAUUACAACUGCAAGUUCUUAAUGCCAAGCCUUACCCUGUUUGCUGCCUGGAUUCACUACUGGAACCUGCUGCUUGCUCUCCAUCUGUUCCCGGAACUGUUGCUGUAGCUGCUUUUGUCGCAAUUUCCGCUGGAUGGUUUGGCUCUGUGAUUUUGAAACUUGUGACAAUGCAAUCCUGGCAAAGCAUCUGUGGCAUCUUUACUUGGUGAGGCCUCACU